rnacentral:rRNA from 1 species
AUACGUAGGGGGCGAGCGUUGUCCGGAAUUAUUGGGCGUAAAGGGCGCGUAGGCGGCCCGGUAAGUCUGGAGUGAAAGUCCUGUUUUUAAGAUGGGAAUUGCUUUGGAUACUGUCGGGCUUGAGUGCAGGAGAGGUAAGUGGAAUUCCCAGUGUAGCGGUGAAAUGCGGAGAGAUUGGGAGGAACACCAGUGGCGAAGGCGACUUACUGGACUGUAACUGACGCUGAGGCGCGAAAGUGUGGGGAGCAAACAGGAUUAGAUACCCUGGUAGUCCACACUGUAAACGAUGAAUGCUAGGUGUAGGGGGUAUCGACCCCUUCUGUGCCGCAGUCAACACAAUAAGCAUUCCGCCUGGGGAGUACGGCCGCAAGGUUGAAACUCAAAGGAAUUGACGGGG